rnacentral:piRNA from 1 species
UGCACAGAUUGGCCGCCCUGCUCUCUU